UCUAUAAUAGCAAUGCAGUUAUAAAAGAGAAAUUGUUGUCUCUUUUAUUUUUAUCAAUUCGAUAUGAUUCACACUAGAAUAGCGAAGCAGUUUGGAGUCACAUCGUCACAGAAGGCCUAUCCAAGGAGACAAUCAGUUGCUAUUCGUGUGAUUCAAGAAAAUCCGCGGAUUGUGCAGAGCUUGAACACAGGAAGCUGAAACAAUUUGUGAAAGUAUGCAAGGAAAAUGCUGUAGUUUCAACUAUUUCGAAAAAGAUCGAUGAGUUCAUUCCUAGAAGUUUCAAACCUAAUACGUUGUUGAACCUAGACAAGGUUUGCGUGAAAGCUGAAUUGUCAGAUGAGGGAAGCAAAAAGAAAGUAGUCAUAAGGGAUUGUAUGAAGAAGAGUGACGAAUGCUAUGACCUGAUAAAAGAAAAGAUUCCGUCAAUCGCAAAGAAUAUACAGGACUUUUCCUGUAAACCAUGCGAUGUCGACCUGUGCAACAACUCAAGCAUCACUUCACCAGCCGCCUUCAUCUUGCUUGUCGUCUCAUUCUUUACUUGCUUCUUACUUCUCAACUAGCAACAAUAAUACAAUACACUAUGUUGAGUUUUCCCAAACUUAGCAAUAUUAGAAAACUGUGUAUCCUAUAUAAAUCCUUGCAGGUACAGACUUGAAAAUGGUAUUAAUAGGUUAAUAGAGAAAAUAUCAGUCGUCAUUGAAAAUUAAGAUGUCGGCUACAUGUGUUAGUUUGCUUGAGUGAUCAUAGUCAUAAUGGUGUAUAUAACAGUGGUUCUAUUUGGUCUAUAAGUACUCCCUUCGCUCGCUGCACUUGUAUAUUAAGCUACAUUUAACUUAUGCUUUAAAAACUCUCAUAAUUGAACUGGUGUAUACAUUUUACAGGAUCGCUAGUAUUUUCAUUACCUUAUAAAUUUAUCUUGAACGUUUUCAAUGUUUUGAAGUUGUCAUUAUUUUUCUAAUAACAAUAGAUCUGAGUUGGCAUAGCAAAUGACAUGAGUUUUGUUUCUUACUACAUGAGCAACCAAAAAUAGCUAAUAAGAGGAGCUCACAAAUAU
rnacentral:misc_RNA from 1 species